GCGAGAUCCUGUCGAAAAUGGCAGCUCUUGAUAGUAAUUUCAAGAUGAAAAUCAGGCUAAUUCGGGGAACACCUUUUUAAGGCCAAUCCCGAGCUAAACCACGAAAGUGUAAAUGUGUAGAGACUAUAUACCUGACACCCAUUUUGGGUGAUGAGAUAGUCCAAUCCUUUUGGUAACAGAAGG
rnacentral:ncRNA from 1 species